GUGCUCACUUCAGCAGCACAUAUCCUAAAAAUGGAACAAUACAGACAAGAUUAGCAUGACCUCUACUCAAGGAUGACAUCCAAAUUUGUGAAGUAGGAAAAAUAAAA